rnacentral:rRNA from 1 species
GUCGCGUCUGGAAAGAUUUAUCGGUGAAGGAUGGGCUCGCGGCCUAUCAGCUUGUUGGUGGGGUAGUGGCCCACCAAGGCGACGACGGGUAGCCGGCCUGAGAGGGCGACCGGCCACACUGGGACUGAGACACGGCCCAGACUCCCGGAGGCAGCAGUGGGGAAUAUUGCACAAUGGGCGCAAGCCUGAUGCAGCGACGCCGCGUGAGGGAUGACGGCCUUCGGGUUGUAAACCUCUUUCAGCAGGGAAGAAGCGAAAGUGACGGUACCUGCAGAAGAAGCGCCGGCUAACUACGUGCCAGCAGCCGCGGUAAUACGUAGGGCGCAAGCGUUGUCCGGAAUUAUUGGGCGUAAAGAGCUCGUAGGCGGUUUGUCGCGUCUGCUGUGAAAACCUAAGGCUCAACCUUGGGCUUGCAGUGGGUACGGGCAGACUAGAGUGCGGUAGGGGUGACUGGAAUUCCUGGUGUAGCGGUGGAAUGCGCAGAUAUCAGGAGGAACACCGAUGGCGAAGGCAGGUCACUGGGCCGCAACUGACGCUGAGGAGCGAAAGCAUGGGGAGCGAACAGGAUUAGAUACCCUGGUAGUCCAUGCCGUAAACGUUGGGCACUAGGUGUGGGGCUCAUUCCACGAGUUCCGUGCCGCAGCAAACGCAUUAAGUGCCCCGCCUGGGGAGUACGGCCGCAAGGCUAAAACUCAAAGAAAUUGACGGGGGCCCGCACAAGCGGCGGAGCAUGCGGAUUAAUUCGAUGCAACGCGAAGAACCUUACCAAGGCUUGACAUACACCGGAAAAGUGCAGAGAUGUGCUCCCCGCAAGGUCGGUGUACAGGUGGUGCAUGGUUGUCGUCAGCUCGUGUCGUGAGAUGUUGGGUUAAGUCCCGCAACGAGCGCAACCCUCGUCCCAUGUUGCCAGCGGGUUAUGCCGGGGACUCAUGGGAGACUGCCGGGGUCAACUCGGAGGAAGGUGGGGAUGACGUCAAAUCAUCAUGCCCCUUAUGUCUUGGGCUUCACGCAUGCUACAAUGGCCGGUACAAAGGGCUGCGAUACCGCGAGGUGGAGCGAAUCCCAAAAAGCCGGUCUCGGUUCGGAUUGGGGUCUGCAACUCGACCCCAUGAAGUCGGAGUCGCUAGUAAUCGCAGAUCAGCAACGCUGCGGUGAAUACGUUCCCGGGCCUUGUACACACCGCCCGUAAAGUCACGAAAGUCGGUAACACCCGAAGCCAGUGGCCCAACUCGUAAGAGAGGGAGCUGUCGAAGGUGGGACUGGCGAUUGGGACUAAGUCGUAACAAGGUA